UAGCUCAGCUGGUUAGAGCGUGGGUCUCAUAAUCCCAAGGUCGCUGGUUCGAAUCCAG
rnacentral:tRNA from 1 species